GACGAACGCUGGCGGCGUGCUUAACACAUGCAAGUCGAGCGGCGGCGGACGGGUGAGUAAUACAUGAGGAACCUGCCCUCUACAAGGGGAUAGCCGGGGGAAACCGCGAUUAAUACCCUAUGGUAGAAGAUGGCCUCAUGACCCAUUAGCUAGUUGGUGAAUUAAAAGCUCACCAAGGCGACGAUGGGUAGCCGGCUUGAGAGAGUGAACGGCCACAUUGGAACUGAGACACGGUCCAGACGCCUACGGGAGGCAGCAGUGGGGAAUAGUGCACAAUGGGGGAAACCCUGAUGCAGCGACGUCGCGUGAGUGAAGAAGGCCUUCGGGUCGUAAAGCUCUGUCCUAUGGGAAGCGGUACCAUAGAAGGAAGCCCCGGCUAACUACGUGCCAGCAGCCGCGGUAAUUC
rnacentral:rRNA from 1 species